rnacentral:lncRNA from 1 species
CACAACACCAGACUAGUAAUUGAUAUUAGUAUGAUUAAAGGUCCCGAUAGUGCACGCAACCGCAGCGUUGGUAGCAAGUCAGAAAUUCAGAUUCAGCAGUGGAAUCAGGGGGAAAAGGCAAACCUAAACAGCCUACUAUUUAGGAUGCAAGUACGGGUAUCCGGACUUGGCCAUAUAUCUCCACUCCCUCCCCUAUAGGGAUGGGCACAGUUAUAGAAUAUCAGGAUAUCCGAACAGAUGUUAGAAUUUCAACACCUAACAUUGCACCAUCAGCCUGGCUGCAGUGGGCGACAUGGAGAAGCACCAGGGUUCAAGAUGGCGUGCAUGAGGAAGGCCGUGGUAACAGAGGCAGUGGUGCAGAUUCUCCGACCAGACACUCAUCUCUAAGCCUGCAGUCAUACAGAGGAUUGAUUGUAACAGUGUGUCUCUCAGAGCUGGAGUUUGCAUCAGACUUCUGCCUAAAGAUUACAGACUGCACGGCCAUCGUUGGCUACUAUGACAUUUUCUUCGACAGAUUCUGCGGCAACAAGGUAAGCAGCAUGUGGCGGCCCUUCCUUUUAACGGCAACCCAAUUAUAUU